CUAAGAAUAUUCCGCAAUGGGCGAAAGCCUGACGGAGCGACGCCGCGUGGAUGACGAAGGCCGAAAGGUUGUAAAAUCCUUUUGCGGGCGAAGAAGAAGGCGGGGAGGGAAUGCUCCGCCGGUGACGCCGGCCCGCGAAUAAGCCCCGGCUAAUUACGUGCCAGCAGCCGCGGUAACACGUAAGGGGCGAGCGUUGUUCGGAAUUAUUGGGCGUAAAGGGCGCGUAGGCGGCGUGCCAAGUCCGGCGUGAAAUACCGGGGCUCAACCCCGGGGCUGCGCUGGAAACUGGCAUGCUUGAGUCAUGGAGGGGAAGCCGGAAUUCCUGGUGUAGGGGUGAAAUCUGUAGAUAUCAGGAAGAACACCGAUGGCGAAGGCAGGCUUCCAGCCGAUGACUGACGCUGAGGCGCGAAAGUGCGGGGAGCAAACAGGAUUAGAUACCCUGGUAGUCCGCACUGUAAACGAUGCACACUAGGCGUCGGGGCGAGCGUUCCGGUGCCGAAGCGAACGCGGUAAGUGUGCCGCCU
rnacentral:rRNA from 1 species